rnacentral:lncRNA from 1 species
AUUUUACUAAGAAAAAGUUGUAACAUGUAAUUAAAUUUUAUGAAAAAUUUACUUUUUUCUUGCACAUCAUAUCAUAAAUUAUGACGUUUUGCAUUAUUUGAGUUGUAAGUGGAUUCAAAAUAAUUCUUAGCACCUUAAUGCUUUUUAUACAGAACAGUUAAGAUGGUAGGUUGCUAGUUCAAAUUGUGUUACUCAGCCAAAAGCAUUAUUUGCACAUGUAGUUAUAAAAAUUUCAUUAUAAAAUCUAAAUUUACUGCAGUUGAAAUGUCCAAACUAUAUUUGUAAAAUUGAACCCUCUUCAAAGAUUGCAUUGUUAUUUGCUGUUUCAAGGAAAUGUUUACACUUAAAUGUCAUAAUGUCAUUCAUGGUACCUUAUUUUACCACCGUUUUUUACUUGUUAUAGUUUUGGGUCCAACAUAUAUAUGUGAUCAGAAUAGCAAGAGUAAAAUCUUGAAUGUUGGUCAUAAUUUAAAAUUUUGAAAUGUUAACCCACCUUCUCUUUUGUACAAGUAUUUAUUGUUGAUUUUUAUAGAGUUUUAUUUAAUUAUUAUAUUUUAUUGAUAUUGUUAAGCCAGUCAGUCUAUCUUAUUUCAAGCCAGUCAAUCUAUGUUAUUCCUAAUGACUGGCACAGGGACUUUCUAUACUAACGGGACUUGUCUCUAUUGAUUUUAAGUGAUAACUAAGCUGCCUGUUUAAAGCUACCACCCAACAAUAAACUUAGUUUUGUAUCUCUAUGCUAGUAGUUAUUUGCGUAUUUCACAUUAAUAGCAAUUUACGAUGACAAAAAAUAUAAGAUUUUGAAAGAAUAAUGAAUUAUUAAACUUAGACGUAUUGUUUUAAGAACACCCCAACUGGGAAAAAAGGUUUGCAGCUACUGAAAAUUCAACAAAAAAUACCUCAAAGUUCAAAGAACAAUAUUUAAAAAAUUAGAGAAAUCUUUUAAAAAACAGCAUUUUGUCAUUUUUGCAAUGACAAAAUGUAUAAAAUUUUAUAAAAACUAUUUUUGUUAAACUUGAACUUGAACAUGUAGUUAUGAGGAUCACUUCGUAAAUGUGAAAAGAUUUGUUAUAAAGUCAUGGGACAUCAGCUACAGCCGAGAUCAGUCUGAUAAUUUGUAUAGACAUCGUUAUAAGUGACCAGUCCCGUUAGUAUAGAAAGUCCCUGAAUGGAAGGACCAGUUUUGUUUUUCAUGCUUACUAUAACACAUUAAGAUUUUUAUGUAUUGUAUUUAUUUUGCUAUCAUCAUUGACAGUCAGCUAUAUUACAGGUACAUUUAAGAUGUUUAUUUAGCACAUAUGUGUUUUAAGCGAACAAAUUAUAUAGGCAAACAAUCAUUCCCCUCGUCUCAUUAUUUAUUUAUUUUUGCAAGGGUUUAUUUCUCAGGAAUAUUAUUUUUUUUUAUGAUAGAGAAAUAAAAUGUGUGUUCAAAUUGUAUCUUAAUUGGUAGAUUGCUUAUUGAAGUCAUUGAUUAUAGUACAACAAAUGUAUAUCAGGAUAUUUUUUCUAAGUACCACAAUGAAAUGGCAAUUACUUAUGAUGAUGUUCUAAUAAUUACAAGGAAUACAGAUAAUUGCACUACAUCUUAAAUGUAUGGAUCGAAUAUUAAAAAAUACCAAAAAAUUGGGAAGUAAAUAGAUUCAAUGCAUUGAAUAACAGUAAAAACUUUUAUAAGAGAUAUCAUUUAAGAUAACUAACCUAAAGAGACCCUGCCAUAACAGCAGUAUUUAUUGGGGUUCUUGGAGAAAGCUCAUUUAACUAAUUUGAAUACUUAAACCCCCCUAACCUCUCACACUGGAAUCACAUCCUGUCGAUCUUUGCCAAUUGAUAGUUACAAAAUACACCUCAAAGCAAUACCCAUCUAUUGAUUUGUUUUAUUCAAUUUAAUAAUACAUUGCUUUUAUAUCUAAAUUUACAUUUCUUUGUGAUCAUCCUAUUGUAAAUAUGCUUUUUUUCUUUUUUGGGCAAAUACAGCAAAGACUUUUGGCAUGACCAUUUUGUUUUCUCGUGACAGUGAAAACACAUUGUUUGUAAAGUACUCCUAUAAUUUACCAAAUAUAGACAUGAUGCAAUAGUUGACAAAUGUUUAAACCGUGUCAUGCCUUUAAAUGAAAUCCAUCAUAUAUUAUUUGUUUAAUUGUUCACCAAUAUUUUGUAAGAAUAGUUUAUACUAACCCAAGACUUACUUCUAUUUAUAUAAAUGUCAAAUUUUGUAUUGUAUAUAUAUACAUUUCAUUUAGUAUACAUGUAUUAUCUUUGUUAUAUGAACAAGCAUUCAAGUAUUUAUUCUUACUUUAAACUGAAUGAAUUUUGUUUCAUCAUGUUCC